rnacentral:rRNA from 1 species
CAAUACUUAGUGGCAGACGGGUGAGUAACAUGUAGGUAUCUGCCCUUUGGCCUGGAAUAACACGAGGAAACUUGUGCUAAUACCGGAUAAGUCUUUACGGAGAAAGCUUUAUGCACCAUUGGAUGAGCCUGCACUUGAUUAGUUUGUUGGUGGGGUAAUGGCCUACCAAGACUGUGAUCAAUAGCUGAUUUGAGAGGAUGAUCAGCCACAUUGGGACUGAGACACGGCCCAAACUCCUACGGGAGGCAGCAGUGGGGAAUCUUGCACAAUGGAGGAAACUCUGAUGCAGCGAUGCCGCGUGAGUGAAGAAGGCCCUUGGGUUGUAAAGCUCUUUCGUCGGGGAAGAAAAUGACUGUACCCGAAUAAGAAGGUCCGGCUAACUUCGUGCCAGCAGCCGCGGUAAUACGAAGGGACCUAGCGUAGUUCGGAAUUACUGGGCUUAAAGAGUUCGUAGGUGGUUGAAAAAGUUGGUGGUGAAAUCCCAGAGCUUAACUCUGGAACUGCCAUCAAAACUUUUCAGCUAGAGUAUGAUAGAGGAAAGCAGAAUCUCUAGUGUAGAGGUGAAAUUCGUAGAUAUUAGAAAGAAUACCAAUUGCGAAGGCAGCUUUCUGGAUCAUUACUGACACUGAGGAACGAAAGCAUGGGUAGCGA